rnacentral:rRNA from 1 species
AUUGAACGCUGGCGGCAUGCUUUACACAUGCAAGUCGAACGGUAACAGGCCUUCGGGCGCUGACGAGUGGCGAACGGGUGAGUAAUGCAUCGGAACGUGCCCAGUCGUGGGGGAUAACUAUCCGAAAGGAUAGCUAAUACCGCAUACGAACUGCGGAGUAAAGCGGGGGACCUUCGCGCCUCGAGCGAUUGGAGCGGCCGAUGCCAUAUUAGGUAGUUGGUGGGGUAAAGGCUCACCAAGCCAACGAUCUGUAGAUGGUCUGAGAGGACGACCGGCCACACUGGGACUGAGACACGGCCCAGACUCCUACGGGAGGCAGCAGUGGGGAAUUUUGGACAAUGGGCGCAAGCCUGAUCCAGCAAUGCCGCGUGCAGGAAGAAGGCCUUCGGGUUGUAAACUGCUUUUGUACGGAACGAAACGGCUCUGGUUAAUACCUGGGGCUAAUGACGGUACCGUAGGAAUAAGCACCGGCUAACUACGUGCCAGCAGCCGCAGUAACAC